rnacentral:rRNA from 1 species
AUUUUCCGGUGAUCUGCCGGACCCGACCGCUAUCGGGGUGGGGCUAAGCCAUGGGAGUCGUACGCUCCGGUUACCGGGGCGUGGCGGACGGCUGAGUAACACGUGGCUAACCUACCCUCGGGACGGGGAUAGUCCCGGGAAACUGGGGCUAAUCCCCGAUAGGUGGAGCGGCCUGGAAGGGUCCUCCACCGAAAGGGUGUCGCGGGGAUGUCCGCGGCGCCGCCCGAGGAUGGGGCCACGGCCCAUCAGGUAGUUGGCGGGGUAACGGCCCGCCAAGCCUAUAACGGGUAGGGGCCGUGAGAGCGGGAGCCCCCAGAUGGGCCCUGAGACAAGGGCCCAGGCCCUACGGGGCGCAGCAGGCGCGAAACCUCCACAAUGCGCGAAAGCGCGAUGGGGUCACUCCGAGUGCCGCCCGCUGAGGGCGGCUUUUCCCGGGCCUAAAAAGCCCGGGGAAUAAGGGGAGGGCAAGCCUGGUGUCAGCCGCCGCGGUAAUACCAGCUCCCCGAGUGGUCGGGACGAUUAUUGGGCCUAAAGCAUCCGUAGCCGGCCCGGUAGGUCUCCUGUUAAAUCCAACGGCUCAACCGUUGGGCCGCAGGAGAUACCGCCGGGCUAGGGGGCGGGAGAGGCGGACGGUAUUCCGCGGGUAGGGGUAAAAUCCUCUGAUCCGCGGAGGACCACCAGUGGCGAAGGCGGUCCGCCAGAACGCGCCCGACGGUGAGGGAUGAAAGCUGGGGGAGCGAACCGGAUUAGAUACCCGGGUAGUCCCAGCUGUAAACGAUGCGGGCUAGGUGCUGGAAAGGGCUACGGGCCUUUCCAGUGGCCGCAGGGAAGCCGUUAAGCCCGCCGCCUGGGGAGUACGGCCGCAAGGCUGAAACUUAAAGAAAUUGGCGGGGACACCACAAGAGUUGAAGCCUGCGGUUCAUUUGAUUCAACGCCGGAAUCUCUAGAGGAUCCCC